AUUGAACGCUGGCGGCAGGCCUAACACAUGCAAGUCGAGCGGAGCGGCGGACGGGUGAGUAAUCCCUAGGAAUCUGCAUGGUAGUGGGGGAUAACGUCCGGUAACGGGCGCUAAUACUGCAUACUAUCAGAUGAGCCUAGGUCGGAUGAGCUAGUUGGUGGUGUAAAGGCCUACCAAGGCGACGAUCCGUAACUGGUCUGAGAGUAUGAUCAGUCAAACUGGAACUGAGACACGGGCCAGACUCCUACGAGAGGCAGCGGUGGAGAAUAUUGGACAAUGGGCGCAAGCCUAAUCCGGCCAUGCCGCGUAGGUGAAGAAGGUCUUCGGAUUGUAAAGCACUUUAAGUUGGGAGGCGUUACCAGCAGAAUAAGCGCCGGCUAACUUCGUGCCAGCAGCCGCGGUAAUAC
rnacentral:rRNA from 1 species